UGAAAGUGGUUUUGCUUUUGUUACU
rnacentral:piRNA from 1 species